UACAGAGGGUGCAAGCGUUAAUCGGAAUUACUGGGCGUAAAGCGUGCGUAGACGGUUAUGUAAGUCAGAUGUGAAAGCCCCGGGCUCAACCUGGGAAUUGCAUUUGAGACUGCAUAGCUAGGGUGCGGAAGAGGGAAGCGGAAUUUCCGGUGUAGCGGUGAAAUGCGUAGAUAUCGGAAGGAACACCAGUGGCGAAAGCGGCUUCCUGGUCCAGCACCGACGUUCAGGCACGAAAGCAUGGGGAGCAAACAGG
rnacentral:rRNA from 1 species